AUUGAACGCUGGCGGCAGGCCUAACACAUGCAAGUCGAACGAGUGGCGGACGGGUGAGUAAUGCAUGGGAAACUGCCUGUUGGAGGGGGAUAACUACUGGAAACGGUACCUAAUACCGCAUACCAUCAGAUGUGCCCAGAUGGGAUUAGCUAGUAGGUGGGGUAACGGCGCACCUAGGCCACGAUCCCUAGCUGGUCGGAGAGGAGGACCAGCCACACUGGAACUGAGACACGGUCCAGACUCCUACGGGAGGGAGCAGUGGGGAAUAUUGCACAAGGGGCGCAAUCCUGAUGCAGCCAUGCCGCGGGUGUGAAGAAGGCCUUGGGGUUGUAAAGCACUUUCUGCGGGGAGGCGUUACCCGCAGAAGAAGCACCGGCUAACUCCGUGCCAGCAGCCGCGGUAAUAC
rnacentral:rRNA from 1 species